UACAUAGACCUCAAGCGUUAUCCGGAUUUACUGGGCGUAAAGCGUGCGUAGGUGUUUCAUUAAGUUUUCGGUGAAAUCUCCCGGCUCAACCGGGAAACUGUCGAAAAUACUGAUGGAAUAGAGUAUGACAGAGGUAGAUGGAAUGCUUGGUGUAGCGGUAAAAUGCGUAGAUAUCAAGCAGAACACCAAUGGCGAAGGCAAUCUACUGGGUCACUACUGACACUGAGGUACGAAAGCGUGGGGAGCGAACGGG
rnacentral:rRNA from 1 species